AACGAACGCUGGCGGCAUGCCUAACACAUGCAAGUCGAACGAAGCCUUCGGGCUUAGUGGCGCACGGGUGCGUAACGCGUGGGAAUCUGCCCCUUGCUUCGGAAUAACAGUUAGAAAUGACUGCUAAUACCGGAUGAAGUCUUCGGACCAAAGAUUUAUCGGCAAGGGAUGAGCCCGCGUAGGAUUAGGUAGUUGGUGGGGUAAAGGCCUACCAAGCCGACGAUCCUUAGCUGGUCUGAGAGGAUGAUCAGCCACACUGGGACUGAGACACGGCCGACUCCUACGGGAGGCAGCAGUGGGGAAUAUUGGACAAUGGACGCAAGUCUGAUCCAGCAAUGCCGCGUGAGUGAUGAAGGCCUUAGGGUUGUAAAGCUCUUUUACCAGGGAUGAUAAUGACAGUACCUGGAGAAUAAGCUCCGGCUAACUCCGUG
rnacentral:rRNA from 1 species